AGCCUUUCUGUUCCAGCAGUUGUUUGCCCUGACGUGUCCGCAGAGGCAAGGGCAGAUUGCAGGUACCUUUCCACAGAGCUCAGCACAGAUUACACAAACAGCACAGCAAUUCACCCGGUCCUUCUUGCCCAGCUGAGGACAAGGAGGUUAUCAGUCUGGAAUAUAUGAUCCGGCCUUUCUCAAGCAGGCUAUUAGCAAGAAACACUAUGGGAAACCUGUUUAUUAUGUUUCCAUUCCACUGUUGCUGCCAUUGAACUCCACCCAUCCCUGAUACAUGUUUAUACAGGUGAACUGCCAAAGAAACCCUUCCUCUGCACCUGAGCCCCACGUUUUAAUUCUUCAUUUACUCAGGUUCAUAAAAACUGAUAAAAUGCCAAAAAGAAUUUCCUCAGAGGUCUGACUGCCUGCACCCGCUGCCAGACAAGCUUAAAGAACCAGACGGGGCUGCAAGGAAAUGGCCCAGCAGAAAGGAAUCCAGGAGGCAUCCACAAGGUCUUAAGCCUCUCAAAUCCUUCGUCUCAGCUCAAGGUUGAUCUGAACAAGGAUCAUAAAAUAUCCAACUUUUGUGUCUGUCCAGAACUGUAUGUGACACAGGCCUACACAAGUGAGGGAGGUCCAUGCAGUUUGAACUCUACAAGACUAUAAGGAAGAAAUGUGGGUUUUUUUUUCCUAUUUAUAUCAUUUCAUGGUUCUGCUCAUAGAUUGCUCCAUAAUAUUAGGUCUAGUUCUAAUAUUUCUAACUUUUAAACAACUCGAACAGCUACUAUUUUAAAAUAAAAAAAUCUACCAAAAAUGGUUUCUUCAUUCUCCUUCUGCCCAAAAACAUCAGUUUUCUCCUAUUUCAAAAACUGUUGUGCUUUAAACUCUAACAGGGUAAGCAGGAAGAAAACUAUGUUAUUAUAACUUACAGGCUAUUAGAGCAUGCAGCAGUGACAAAAAAAGGUUACAGAAUGGAUUCCCAAUGUUCUAGUAAGUCACAACAACUAGAAAUAGGCAUUUGUUUUG